rnacentral:misc_RNA from 1 species
GAUGAAGAAGUAGCGAAAUGCGAUACUUGGUGUGAAUUGCAGAAUCCCGUGAACCAUCGAGUCUUUGAACGCAAGUUGCGCCCGAGGCCUCCUGGUCGAGGGCACGUCUGCCUGAGUGUCACGCAUCGUCGCCCCCUCUCCCCUCGGCUCGCGAGGGCGGGGGCGGAUACUGGUCUCCCGCGCGCUCCCGCUCGCGGUUGGCCCAAAAUCGAGUCCUCGGCGACGGUCGCCACGACGAGCGGUGGUUGAGAGACCCCCGGACACGGUCGUGCGCGCGCCUGUCGCCCCCGGGAUCUCCUGGACCCUCGGGCAUCGAAAUUCUAGGAUGCUCUCGUUGCGACCCCAGGUCAGGCGGGACUACCCGCUGAGUUUAAGCAUAUCAAUAAGCGGAGGA